CAUAUCUUUUUAAUUUCUUUUAAAUUUGGAAUUAAGCUUUUGGUCAAAGGAACUCCUUGUAUGCGGAAUCUUGAGCUUAUAUAUUGAGAAUUGGAAAAUUUCUUGCCAUUUUUUUGCUGUGUCGGUCCAUUCAAAGCGUUAGAACUUCCACCAUUCAAGAGCCAAUACAACACGUAUAUGGACCAAUACAACACGUAUAUGGACAAAUACAACACGUAUAUGGACAAAUACAACACGUAUAUGGACCAAUACAACACGUAUAUGGACCAAUACAACACGUAUGUGGACCAAUACAACACGUAUGUGGACCAAUACAAUACGUAUAUGGAUCAAUACAACACGUAUAUGGAUCAAUACAACACGUAUAUGGACCAACACAACAAGUAUAUGGAUUUCGUUCGAGUCAUCUUCCCGUAAGGCGCUAACCUUUCAAAGUGAACAAAACUUUUGAAUUUCUUGGAAAUGUGAACAAUUUCCUUCGGAUUGAGCACACGAUUUAAUUGACUGUAUGAAACAAUGAGAAAUUUAGUCUCAUAGGUAGACUUCCUGGAUUGAGAGACUAUAAAAAACUUCAGGAGUUGCAUCAACAAAAAAAAAACCGUUUCUAAGAGCCCGAAACACAUAAAAAAAAAACAUCUCAAAGACAGAGCCAGGUGGUGGCUUGGUGGAAUCGGCAAACAAGGGUGAGAGUGUUGUACGUCAUUGGGAAAACAGACUAGUUUCACUGACGCUUCGAACAAAAGACUUACGAGCAAAAUAACCUAACGCCGGAUAAGGAGUACAACAAAGCACUUGGACAAUGUGUUGAUUUAUCCCACACUGUUAGUUUCAGGGAGUUAUUUUUACUCCACUCAGAGAGUAAAAACUACUCUUUGCGAUGGAGUACUUUUAAAGGAGUAAUUUGAACUCCUUUAUUGGAGUAAAAACUACUCCACUGAGGAGUAAUUUUUUUGUUUACUCCCUUAACGGAGUAAGUUUUACUCUGCUGAGAAUUAGUAUCGAAUGUUUUUUAGAAAAAGAGUAAUUUUCACUCUUGUUGGUCAAAUAAUGGAGUAAAAAGUACUCUUUUCUGGGAGUAAUUUUAGCAGAGUAAAAGCUACUCCAACUAUCUGAAGUGAAAAGAGUUAUUUUUACUCCAGAUGGUCAAGAAAUGGAGUAAAAAAGUACUCCUUUUAGGGGGUAGGUUUUGAAGAGUAAAAACUACUCCAGCCAUCUCGUGUUGAAAGAGUAGUUUUUACUCCAGCUGUAUCUUUUUAGAGCAGUAACAAAUCACUCCAAAUAUAUAAAAUAAAGAGAGUUGUUUUUUUACUCUGAAUUAGCUGAAUUUAAGAAGGAAAACGAUAGUCUUUAUUAUAUAAGACAAAAGAUAAAAAUAAUAAUUUAUGGUAUUUAUUGGUAUUGAGACAAAAAACUCUACCCUGUGCCUAGGAGUUUCCUAAGAUUUCCUAAGUUCGAUCAAAACAACAAAAUAUGAUUAAACUUCCUAAAAAUUCCUAGGAUUUCCUAGUAUAAGCAGAAGACCAGAAAAUUGAAAUAAUUUGGAUAAGAAAAUCUUAGGAAGAAGAUUUGAAGUUCUACAAUUUAGGAACUCUUAGGAAAUUCUUAGGAAAUGCUAAAAGAACAUUUUCAAUACAAGAACAGGCCUCGCCAUACUUGCAUAUAUUGUCAGUUAUACUACAACAAUAAGAAAUGUAAACAAAGACAGGCUUGGACUCUAACAUGAGUUUUAUGUGGUGUACUUUCAGAAUUCGCUCAGAAUAAUUAGUACUGCAUUGAAAAGAAAGAUAGGUAGGGUGAUAAUUGUAUAAAAGUCUUAGAUCCGAUUUGAACAUUAUAAAAUAAUAUAUAUUGUUUCUAAUAGAAAUGCUACUUGAGAUUAUAAAAAAAAAAAAGAAGUCCCGCUUUGCAGAUAGAAGACGGCUCACCAGGGCCCGUAAAACCAAAAUGUACCGGGCGUCCCUCGCUUUAGUGGCCGAGAGGGGCUUGGGCCCAAGGCGCAAAAUCAUAACGGUCGAACGAAAGCCAUUAUCAUAACCUCCAAACAGAUAGCCGUUUAUUCCCGUCUUUUCUACGCGUAAUCCACCUUUUUUGAGGAUUUGAUGGCAGAACAUGGAUUGAAGUUAAAGGACAUAGAUAGAGAUAGUAAAAUGUGCUCGAGUUGAAAGCCAGAAAAGAAAGAAGUUUGAGGUAUAAGGAAUGUAUCAAUGCGUAAAUCGCAAGAAACGAAUAAAAACUUUGUAAACUUAAGUUAUUCACUAAUCACUGUACUUACAUCUAAAGCGCCUAUGCUUUAUAAACUGUUACUUGAAGCACAAAAUUGAAUAACUUAGCUAAGUAAAAACCUAGUAAUCAGUCUUGCACCUAAAAUUUGUCCAGAUAUUUAUUUUGAAUAUCUUACGUUACGGUAGUUGGUUUUUGUCCGUAUAUUCUUAUCACAGUAAACCCUGCAUAUGAAGAACCUAGUUAUCUUUUCAAGCUAGCCUACCAGGUUCAAAUUUAAAUGGUGCAUAUAGAGGCAUUGGGCUUCUAGCUUCUUAUCUGAAUAUACAAAGAUGGAGGAGGAGGCAGUUCUUUUGGAAAACCGUAAUGACGCCAAAAAGGGUAAUGUUCAAAAGCUGUUAAAGUUGUUAUA